rnacentral:rRNA from 1 species
GAUGAACGCUGGCGGCGUGCUUAACACAUGCAAGUCGAACGGAAAGGCCCAAGCUUGCUUGGGUACUCGAGUGGCGAACGGGUGAGUAACACGUGGGUGAUCUGCCCUGCACUUCGGGAUAAGCCUGGGAAACUGGGUCUAAUACCGGAUAGGACGAUGGUUUGGAUGCCAUUGUGGAAAGUUUUUUCGGUGUGGGAUGAGCUCGCGGCCUAUCAGCUUGUUGGUGGGGUAAUGGCCUACCAAGGCGUCGACGGGUAGCCGGCCUGAGAGGGUGUACGGCCACAUUGGGGCUGAGAUACGGCCCAGACUCCUACGGGAGGCAGCAGUGGGGAAUAUUGCACAAUGGGCGCAAGCCUGAUGCAGCGACGCCGCGUGGGGGAUGACGGCCUUCGGGUUGUAAACUCCUUUCGCUAGGGAAGAAGCGUUUUUGUGACGGUACCUGGAGAAGAAGCACCGGCUAACUACGUG